rfam:Gossypium raimondii Chr12_contig_54, whole genome shotgun sequence.
UGUUCAAAAAAUCAUUCAUUUCUACUGUUAAAAAUUGGCAUGACUGACAGAAUAACCAAAUAACCACACAUGUCGUGCCACGUAACCUCAUGCUGAUACACAUUGACCAUUUUUUAAUAGUAGAAAUGAAUACAAUUUUUAACA